GGACAAGAAGAAUUUCUGCUUCAGAACUUGGCUGCUGAAGGCUGAGUUGCAGGGUUUGCUGGGAAGCUCCUGCCACUGUGCUCCAGGAGCUGAUGUAAAAACCAGAUGCAUGAUCAUCGAAGAAAUAUUGCAAAACUUGUCAACUUAUUCAAGACUCCUGCUGUUGAAUUGCAUCAAUGUAACUGAAAGCCUACUCAGAACAAAUGAACUGCUGUGCUGGAAACUUGUGCUUUUUAUUGUAAGCCCUGCAACAUUGGUGUUUUCCUUGUAUUUUCAGCUCCUGGAGUCAGGAGAUGCUGCUCCAAGGCUGACAGGGAUAAUGCAAAAGACCUGGAAGUCAAAUAAAAAGCAGAAGUGACUGGCAGGAACAGAAGCCGGAAAAGGUCAAGGCAAAGUGAAGGAGUACAGCUGCAGUGUCCUUGGGAACACAUUUGGGUAAUGUCCUCCAGCUGCCUGAGUACCUGCACCACCAGUGCUUGCAACACUCUCUCCCUCCUACAGUAAUUCUUUGUGACCAAGCAGUAACAGCUGCAGGCUCUAGGACCACUUGGGAUGCAGGGGGUGGAUGGAAGAAAUGUCUGAUGGAUACAGCUGUUAUCCAAUCUUGUAUGAUCUACUGCUCUGCAGGGACAGAGAUCACUUGUGUGUGAGAAAGAGAGAGCAAUUGCUUAUUGAUGUAAUGGAAGCAAAUGAAGAUAAUGUAAAGGGCAGGUAAAUGACAGCAUCUUUCUGGAAGAUAUGCAGAAGCUUUCCUGCUUCUUCUGAGGUACUUGCAAAUUUUGCCAGUUACUCGCCCUAAGUGGUGUUUGUUUCCUUUCCACAAAGAUGACAACAGCUCUGAAUGCUGAUAAAACAAAGCUUGGCAGAGUCCCAAGCAAGAUAUCUUGUUCCGGGACUACGGUCAGCCUGAGCUUCUCACUUACCUUGCAGGCAUUCAGUCUUCAAAAGCCAGGAACAUACAUCUGUGGGAGGUAAAGUUACAACAGAAUUUUGAAUAAACUGAACCUGGAAACGCUUCCAGCUCAGCUAACAGAAUGACGUGGUGGCCUUGGAAAAUGACACGCUCUGAAGGCUGGCACUGGGGGAAAUGAAGAUGCAGAGUUAGAAGGGUUUUGAACACGUGGGAAAAUGAUGGAGAAACAGCUUCAAAAUGCUUACUCAGCUCCUUCAAAUCUUCAUGCUGGACAACAGGGAUAUAUAUGAGCUGUAAAGAAAGGUACCUCCCAGUGAGUAUGUUUUCUUUUAUUUUUAUAAUUAGCCUCAUUGGAGCACCAAUCCAGAGACUUCUGGACUUGGAGGGAGACUUGUCAUCAUAACUGAGCAAAACAAGGAUUCGGGUUUAUUCCGAUACUUAUUCAUAAUGCAGAUCCCAGUAUGGGUAAAGACAGAGCUUAUAGUGGGACUCAUAAUUCAAUCUUGAGUCUUAUCAUUUGCAUGUGGGAAAAGAAACCCAUUCCUCCUAAGCAGACAUAUACCAUAAAACCUUCUCAUAAGGCUGGAAGGGGCAUUUGCAGUCCGUUAUCCUUCUCAACAAAGGAAUAACUGUCCAAAGCCAUUACAUUUCUCAAAUCCUUUUUUACAGUAUUUAUAGAGAAAGGCCAUAAAUAUCCUAGAAUAAAGUAACUGACCAUGGACUCGCUGGGAAUGCUGGUAUUUUUUCUCUACUAGUUUGUUUGGUUUUUUAAACUAUGAUGUUGUCACUAAGUUCUCUGACACCAGAUGUCAUGACUAAUAUUCUCCUUAUUUUGUUAGCUUGUUCUGUUAGAGUAAGGACUCAGAGAAACUGGGGCCAUCCCUUUCUAUUCCCAAAGAUUAUCUUUUUCACUUUAGUUGCCACUACAUUUGUCAUAAUGCUAUGAAGCCGGUCUGAAGAGCUUUGCAAAGACCUUAAAACUGGUAGAAGUCAUUCUUUUGCCUAUCAUGAGAACAGAAUCUGGCAUUUAAUCCAUUGGAAUAGCUAGAUAUCAUCAAGGAGCUUUCUGAAAACAAACUCUCUAAUCUGUAUCAUUUGCAAAUAAAUAAACAAGAUGUCUGGUCGUCUUUCUCGGAUAGCUACAGUGAAAGGACAUAUACGCAAACAUAUUAAAACAAUAUCAGAAAAGCCAGAAACAGGCUGCGUCUUAUAAAGCUAUUCACUGGAUUUAAAUGGUUGUGGAUAGAUCAUAUUAGAAAAUGGACAUGAACAGAAUAGAGAUGGAUCCGUAUCAGCACACAGAGAUGUUUAGAACACUUUUUCAUUGCAAGAUACUAUUCCUGUACCUCCGCUCGUCAUUUUUGGUUUCUAGUGGUUCUGAACAAAAUGGUAUUUCUGUAGACAUGGCCAUCACUUACAAUUAUUUAAGAAAUAUUGCAAGGAAAUAUGCAUCUCUGGGAUGUUCACCAUGUUCUCCAGAGCCAAACUGGUGGCCUUGUGUUUUGUGUCUUGUGCU